rnacentral:rRNA from 1 species
CAAUCCCAUAAAACCAUUCUCAGUUCGGAUUGUAGGCUGCAACUCGCCUACAUGAAGCCGGAAUCGCUAGUAAUCGCGGAUCAGCAUGCCGCGGUGAAUACGUUCCCGGGCCUUGUACACACCGCCCGUCACACCACGAGAGUUUGUAACACCCGAAGUCGGUGGGGUAACCUUUUGGAGCCAGCCGCCUAAGGUGGGACAGAUGAUUGGGGUGAAGUCGUAACAAGGUAGCCGUAUCGGAAGGUGCGGCUGGAUCACCUCCUUUCUA